rnacentral:lncRNA from 1 species
CAAAGAUGAUGUCAUUACGAAGAUGCCAGCCGCGCCACCAUAGGAACAUGACCUUAAUGCGGCACUCAGAAUUAACUCUAUCCAUUAAUAUUAGAACCCAAUCUCUGUCGAUAUAAGAGAGGACGUCUAUUUUAAAUCUAGCGCUAUUCAAGUGCUUUUGCGGCGCUAUCAAGGUUUAGGCGGGCUCCCGCAACGCGAUGAUGAAUUUUGCCGCAACACCCGCAAUUCCGUGAUAAGAACGCUCUUUCCCCACUAUUUCCCGCGAAACUGCCUCCGCAAUUUUGUCCACAAUGACGCUAUGGGCCUCCACUGGAUCGGAAUCAAACCCAAGGUAAAUUAUGAAAAAAAAAAUCCCGUGACCAAGAACUGCA